rnacentral:pre_miRNA from 1 species
GCUUAUGGUUGAGCAAAGAAAGGGGUUUCCGGUGAUGGAAUCUACUCCUGGUGAAGAUGCUGUGCA